rnacentral:lncRNA from 1 species
CUAUUAUCUGUAUCAUCAGUGCUGGCAUGAGUGGGUCACAAUUUCAAUUGCUACUGUUCCUGAUAUAAUAAACAUAAAUUAAUGAUGUUUUUCUUUUGUAGAUCAUUUUGUUUUUAUGUAAUGGCAAUUUUUUUGUGUAAUUGCUGCAAUGUUACCAUUUUUAUUUUAAUUUAGGCCCUCUCUAAGUCUUUGUUAUCACCAAGUUCCUUUUUCCAGUGGGAGAUGGGAACAGCUUGGUUAAGUAGGCUGCAGUGUCUUUUGUCCUGACUAUGUUGGCAGACGUUCAAGCAAGUUUAAAACUACUAAGCUUAGGGGCUUCCAGUAAUGCCUUUGUAAGCAGUUUUUCAUUCUGAGCUUCAAAGAGACUGGUAUUAGAGGAUAGGAGUUGUGUUCACUUUCACUUUGAAAAGACUGGCAGCCCCAUUCUGGUGUAUCCUUUUAUUUGUGUUUCUCUAGGUGCUGUACAAUAUUCCAUUGUCUGGAUGUGUCAAAGAUUAUUUAUCCAUUUACCUACUGAAGGACAUCUUGGUUGCUUCUAAGUUUUGGGAAUUAUUGAUAAAGCUGCUAUAAAUAUCCACAUGCAGGCUUCAGUGUGGACAUAAAUAUUCAGUUGCUUUGGGUAAACACCAAGGAACAUGAUUGCAGGAUCAUAUGUUGCUUGCGGUCACUUCCCUGAACACAAGCCUGCCACCUCAAUGGCUGCACCGCCUUAGGUCCUGACAUGUCAUGCUUCAUACAAGACAGCCACCCUUUGACCACCAUGUGUCUCUCUGCACCUCUGAGGUGGAGUUCUGCAGUCUUCGCCAUUUAGGCCUUCCACAGUUCUUGUCAGGUGGCAGACGGUGGAGCAGGAGCUUGGAGCAUCUCAGGAGCCCCUGCAUCUUUUGCAUCAGUCCUCUUCCGCAUAGAUUUUGAGGUGUGCCUCCUUCUGCCUUUCAUAUUUCAGGAAUUUUUUAGUCUCCGGUCUACUAAGAACCCUUUCUUUUGUUCCAGCAAAAAAUAUUUCUUGUCAUGUCUAGGAAUUUAG